AUUGAACGCUGGCGGCAUGCUUUACACAUGCAAGUCGAACGGCAGCGGGGAGGAGCUUGCUUCUCUGCCGGCGAGUGGCGAACGGGUGAGUAAUACAUCGGAACGUGUCGAGAAGAGGGGGAUAACCACCCGAAAGGGUGGCUAAUACCGCAUAAAUUCUGAGGAAGAAAGCUGGGGACCUAGGAAUAGGCCUAGCGCUUUUUGAGCGGCCGAUGUCGGAUUAGCUAGUUGGUGAGGUAAAGGUUCACCAAGGCGAAGAUCUGUAGCGGGUCUGAGAGGAUGAUCCGCCACACUGGGACUGAGACACGGCCCAGACUCCUACGGGAGGCAGCAGUGGGGAAUUUUGGACAAUGGGGGCAACCCUGAUCCAGCCAUGCCGCGUGUAUGAAGAAGGCCUUAGGGUUGUAAAGUACUUUUGUUAGGGAAGAAAAGUCAGCUGUGAAUAAUGGCUGAUACUGACGGUACCUAAAGAAUAAGCACCGGCUAACUACGUG
rnacentral:rRNA from 1 species